rnacentral:lncRNA from 1 species
CUAGAUGUUGCUGACAAAGAGCUGAAGUUACUAAACCAAUGAUAUACUCCCAGGGAAAUAUAGGUGAAAAAGAUACUAUUUUUUUUUCUUCUUUUUCCCUUUCCUAGCUCUUUAUCAGCGUUCAAUUCAACCCAAGGAACCAGGAACCGAGGAGGAAGGAAGUAAUUGACAUUCAAAGCCUCUAUUUUUAGACACCUUUACACUUUCUUUUGCUUCUAACUAGCAAGGAUUUUUCCAAACAAGCUUUUAAUUAGCAGGUCAACUCCAUCUAUAUCCAAAACCUUUCUCAUCUGGCCUGACCUCCCUCAUGAGAGUUGCUGUUCUACUAGCUGACUGAAAUUUGAUGUAUCCUCUCACCUCAACUUCCACAAGUCAAAACACGUCUGUGCUUUCUGGUCACCCACCUACCAAAGCAAUCCUCCAUUUGCUAAUGUGUGCCAAUGGUCGCUUGACUUCACCUGGGAUGCUGACUCCAACUCCAGCCUAAACAUCUAAAGUGAUUGCUUCCUUAACUCUUGAACUUCAGUCUCCUGGUCCUUUAACCUCUUGUGAGUUUCCUAGUAUCGAUACUAUGAAUAUUAUUAGUAAUAGUAGUAGUAGUAUC